rnacentral:lncRNA from 1 species
CAUCAUCCAAUACAUAAAAAACAAUUAAAUUUAACAAAUUAGGUCACCUUUAAUUUUAUAAUUUUGACAUUUAUAAAACAAAAUUAAUAGCCCACACUUCAUAUUAAAAUUUUGGGUUCUUAAAAGUUCAAAUUUCAAAUUAUAAAAGUAUUAAAAGUCCAUACUUAAUUAGCCCAAAAUCUAAAGCUCAAAUAAAAAAAAUUUAAUUAAACUCAACAAUCAAAAACAAAAUUUAAAAUAAAUAUAAUAAUCAUUAUAAAAUGAAAAAUAGGUCUACCUCUAGUAUCAUCUCUUUUUCGUCUUUCCUAAAACCUCUUAAUUUAAUAUAAAUAAUGGAGUAAAUAUUAGUAAUAAUAAAAUGACUACAUCUCUUUAUUAGGUUUACAGACAUCACACAAAGCGCCGCCUUCACCUCUAAUUUCUUCCUAUUCUCACGCUACCACCUCAGCUCGUCUGCAAUCUCUCUCUGUUUUCCGCCGCUCGUCGCCCCCUCCGGCCCACGCCGCUCGCCUCGAAAUCUCUACAGCAACAGCCUGCGCCGUGCUCCGCCUCACUGUGCAGCCUAUCAGAGCUGCUCUGCCGACAACUCCCCAACCCAACGUCUAAUAGCAGGUAAAUCGACUGCAAUUUGAAAUGUGGGAGCUGAGAUGUGGAAGUGAAGAAUUCACAUUUAUUGCUGCUAUUUAUAGAUGGUAAACCUGACUUAGCAUAUUCAAAAUUCAAAUUUGGGCUCCAUAAAUUGGAGCCAAAAGAGCACUGAACCUAUUACCCAACAGAUAAAUUGAUCCAAAUUAUUCAGUAGAUUAAAGGAAGUGUGACUUGGCGGGAAAAAUUGGCAGCUGAAAACCUUUCUUUAAUAUUAGUAUAGAUAGAUAGAUAGAUUUGAUUAGCUGGGCCUCAGCAUCCGCUUUAGUUGACAUCGUAUUAGCUUGUACAUAAUAGAAUUGGGCCCAAGUAUAAUUUUCUCUUCACUUACAAAACCCACCCUAGGUUCUAUAAAGACACUCUUAAACGACUCUGCGAUUCCGUAUGUCUUCUUGAACACUCCUAUCCGCCUCAAUUUGCAGUCGUUUACCAGUUAAUCGAGAGAUUCGAACCUCUUUUUGCAAUAUUCUGCAGUAAAAUGGCGGACAAGGCGGUCACAAUCAGAACAAGAAAGUUCAUGACAAAUCGCCUCCUCUCGAGGAAGCAAUUCAUCAUCGACGUGUUGCAUCCAGGAAGACCUAAUGUUUCCAAGGUCUGAUUUUUCUGUUUACCUUGUUGUUUUACCUUCAUUAUUUUUCUGUAAAUUAGAUGUUUUGUUAGUGUUUUUAGAUGUUAGAGAACUUGUAGUACGGUAUGGCCCAUUCUUAUCGUAUAAAUUGAAACAUGGCCCAGUAAAGAGGCCCAAGAGAGAAGUUGGGCCAGAAACGGGUCCAUUAGCGGCUAAUGGAAUUGAGUUGAUUGAAACCUUCAGCUCUAAGACUAAAACCCUUGCCAACAAAAACCUUACAACAACACAGCCUCUUGUCUCCUUCCGCCCUUCACAAAAUCGAGCAAAAAUGAGGUCGAAGAGGAAUCUAAACGGCUCAGCCAAGCAGGGCGCGUAAGACGUGCAGAAACUGAAGGCGAAAAACGUGGAAGAAAUUGCCAAGAGGAUUGAAGAAGGAGAAGCAGAAGCAGAAGCAGAAGCAGCAGCGGAUAGUUCCGAUGAUUCGCCGUUUGUUUCGGAUUUUGAAGAUAGCGAUGAUGGCGAUUUUGAUGAUGAAGUACGGUUUGAUUCUUUGAUUGGUUUCUUAUACUGUUUAUACAGAGUUUUGUUUCCACUGUUAGUUUUGUGUUUUCAGUGGCUUUGAACCGUACUGUUUCUUCUCACUUGAGCUAUUGUUUUUUCAGUGAGAGGAUAAAACUUCGGGGAAUAAGGAGAGAGAGUUCAAUUUUUAGUUGUAGCUUUCUUUUUGCUCAUGAAAUGACGAACCUGUAUUGGAUAUCGACUCUUAGGUUUUAGGGAACCAAUUUCUCUUUUUGUUGAGCUACAGAGCUUCGGCAUUUCAUUUGUGUAGUAUUGAGCUUGUUAAUUAUGGAACCGGAGUGAAGUUCGGUUUAGUAUAAAUGAACAAAGUUCGGUUUAGUAUAAAUGAACAAAAUAUUGAGUUAAUUGAUUUAAUCUUGCUUUUGUAACUUUUGUAGAGUUUGAUUGGGGAUGAAGGCUCAAGUGAUGAAUCUGGACCUGAGGAAAGCGAAUUAUCUUUAUAUGAGGAUGAUGAGGUACGCUGUUUUUGUCAUUUUGAUUGUGAAGAUAGCUCUAGUUUUCUGCUUAUCUCUACCCUGCAACCAUUAGGUUAUGGUGAUCGAACAAGGAUGCUAUUGACAUUUUUUAACCCUUGACGUGUUCACUUCAUGACUUUUCCUUCUUUUAGAUUCAAUAGUAAUUAUUUCUUUUAGAACUUUUAUUGCACACAUGUACAAUUGAAGUAUGUUUACUUCUUCAGAUGAAUGCUUCUGCUUUGAUUCUGAUGUUCCUAUUAUUUCUUCUUGGUGGAUGCAAGUACUCAUCUUACGGCCUAUAGCGUGCCAAGGGACUUUCGGUGCUGACAUGGACAAAAUCAGCAUGUUUUAGAGAUCCAUGUAGACUCUUUUAUUUUAUUUAAAAAAGAGAUACUUACUAAUUAGGAAAUGCAAAAGAGAUCUAUGUAGACCCAUCUUCUCAUUCUCUUUCUUUCUGUUUUACCUUUCUUAUCACUUUUUGGUAUUUUUUGAUAAUUUUGCUCCUCUUCUUUUGUCUCCUGCUGUUUUAGUUUUUUAUUUUUUAUUUUUAAAAGCAGUGAUAUGUCUAGUUAAAUCAAUCUCCACUUGUGCCCCGCAUGUAUCUUCGCUGAACUUCUUGUGGUCAUUUUGUUCUUGGCUCUAUACUUUCUAGUUGACAUGAAUAAACUUCAAGAAGCGACCAUCUUGUGCAAGUUGGUUUGGGAGACAUGGUUAUCAUAAGUUCCAUAUAUAGUUAGUUUUGUGGCUAUCAAUUAUGCCGCUAGAGGAUGGCGUUCUUUUGUGUGAUGACAUUUUCAUUUGUUUUGUACUUUUUCCCUUCUUUUUGUGCUGUACUGAAAAACUUACGUUUGUUCAUUGCAUCAGCUUGAGGAUUUGUUCUUGUAUAUACUUAAAUUUCGGAAAAUCAGGCUACCCAUCAUGUUCCUGCUUUUUUUUACUUAGAUUAGAUAAAUCUGAUUUUCCUGUAACAGGAUGAUGUUUAAUCCAGUGAUGAUGAUGAUAAUUCAGUUAGUGCUUGCCAUGAUAAAGACUCUGUUGAAGAUAACAACCAUAGCAGUGUUAGCAAAGGUGAUGAACAUGAUAAGUUUGGUGUUGAAGACAGCGGUGGAAGGAGUGAUGAUUCUCGUGAAAUUGUUGAGGAGAGUGACUCAUCUGAAGAUGAGGUAUAUACACGUUCCUGUUACAACUUACUAUCACAAACACCUCUUCUAUCUGCUAAAUUCCUGAAAGCCCCAAGUACCCAAAAGUACAAAAGUAUACAUAAUCUGCCUAUAUAGUUAGGGAAGGAAAAUGCAUUCCACCACUUUAAAGGUGUAAGAGCAUUAUUUGGGUUUACCUGUUUUACAAAGUUCUUGCCAAUCAAAAUUGAUCUACUCUUUCCUUUUCGAAUUCUUAAUUUUUUUUGGCAAUUGAACAUGCUUGAAUUUUUCAUCAGUGUAACCCAACUAGAUGAUUGAUGAGUACAUUGUCCGAGAGUCUUGCAAAUUGUUUGAAAUGCCUUGCUUAGAGUUUUUCUUGUUCAAAUCAGGUUGCACCUCGCAAUACUAUUGGAAUGUUCCUUUGAAUGGUACAAGAUGAGGACAUAUUGGAUAUGAUUUAUCUGGAAAGAAGAUAAAAGAAAAAAGAAGAAAACGAGCAAGCUCGAUUCUUUUCUUGCAAGGACUGAUGAUGCAAAGAGUUGGUGAGUUCAUAUCUGAAAGCAGUGUUCUAUUUUAAUUCAAGUUACCCAUAGUAUAUCCCUGAUUAUGUUGCUAAGCAUAUUUACUUAUAGCAAGAUGUUNGUGUAACAAUACAUUGUAACAACACAUUUUUUAAACAAUAUAAACAGUACACAUUUGUUGUAACAACACAUGUGUUGUAACAGUACAUUUGUUGUAACAAUACAUUGUAACAACACAUUUUUUAAACAAUAUAAACAGUACACAUUUGUUGUAACAACACAUGUGUUGUAACAGUACAUUUGUUGUAACAACACAUGUGUUGUAACAACACAUGUGUUGUAACAACACAUUUGUUGUAACAACAAAUGUGUUGUUGUAACAACACAUUUGUGUGUUGUUGUAACAACACAUUUGUUGUAACAACACAUGUGUUGUAACAUUUGUUAUAAACAGUACACAUUUGUUGUAACAACACAUUUGUUGUAACAACACAUGUGCUAUAAACAGUAUAAACAGUGCACAUUUGUUGUAACUUACGUGGAUUAAACAGUAUAAACAGUACAAAUUUGUUGUAACAACAAAUGUGUUGUAAACAACACAAAUGUAACAACACAUUUGUUGUAACAACACAUUUGUUGUAACAACACAUUUGUUGUAACACAAAUGUAACAACAACACAAAUGUAACAACACAUUUGUUGUAACUUACGUGGAAUUGAGUUGAUUGAAACCUUCAGCUCUAUGACUAAAAUCGAGCAAAAAAUGAGGUCGAAGAGGAAUCUAAACGGCUCAGACAAGCAGGGCGCGGAAGACGUGCAGAAACUAAAGGCGAAAAACGUGGAAAAAAUUGCCAAGAGGAUUGAAGAAGGAGAAGCAGAAGCAGCAGCGGAUAGUUCCGAUGAUUCUCUUCACUUACAAAACCCACCCUAGGUUCUAUAAAGACACUCUUAAACGACUCUACGAUUCCGUAUGUCUUCUUGAACACUCCUAUCCGCCUCAAUUUGCAGUCGUUUACCAGUUAAUCGAGAGAUUCGAACCUCUUUUUGCAAUAUUCUGCAGUAAAAUGGCGGACAAGGCGGUCACAAUCAGAACAAGAAAGUUCAUGACAAAUCGCCUCCUCUCGAGGAAGCAAUUCAUCAUCGACGUGUUGCAUCCAGGAAGACCUAAUGUUUCCAAGGU